rnacentral:piRNA from 1 species
UGAGAGAUGUCAAUUCUAGGAUGUUGGU